UUCGCUGAGCUUGGAGAGGAAUACAUUACUGCAAGCCAAAGCACUGGCAACAUCCUGAGCUCACUCCUCCCUUUCUCUCUCUUCCCUGUCUGUCUCUUCCUUUCUUACACCUUUCAGACAGGAUUCUGCUCAGCCCAUCUGUGUUUCAACAGUGAAAGCCAAGCUGGAGUUAUCAGGCAGAAACACAGCACAGGACACUGAAGCUGAGAGUCUGAGUGAGAGCUGUCAGCUGGUCUCUCCUCCCUCACGGCUCCAUGUACCCUGAACCCAACACUGAUUCCCCUGCUCGUCUCUCCACACGGCAGACUGGAUCCCCUUAUACAGCUCGAUAUGGGAGUCCAAAGAGAAAGCUGCAGUUUUACAGGUAC